rnacentral:rRNA from 1 species
GACGUAGGGGGCCAGCGUUGUUCGGAAUUACUGGGUGUAAAGGGUUCGUAGGCGGUGCGGCAAGUUGGGAGUGAAAUCUCUGGGCUUAACCCAAAGGCUGCUUCCAAAACUGCUGUGCUUGAGUGUGGGAGAGGCGCGUGGAAUUGCAGGUGUAGCGGUGAAAUGCGUAGAUAUCUGCAGGAGCACCCGUGGCGAAAGCGGCGCGCUGGACCACUACUGACGCUGAGGAACGAAAGCUAGGGGAGCAAACAGG